GACAUAUCACGCUAACCCCGGUUUUCGUCCGAUCACUGAAGUUAAGCAUCGUCGAGUCUGUUCAGUACCUAGUUGAGUGACCUCUUGCUAAUACUAAG